AAAGGGUAGCCUAUUUAUUAAGUUUUGGGUGCAUUUCAAAAGUGAUGCCUAAUGUAUGCAUGGCCAAAUCUUAACAACACUUAGUAAAUUUUUUAUUCCACUUUCAAUUCCCUCCAAAAGCACACACGAACCCUUUCUCCCACAACAACUAAACCUCACACCUUCAAUUCGAAAAGUGAGACCCUCACCUUCGCUAACCUUUCACGCUAACCUUUCGUGCACAACAACCCUUACCUUCACCAUUCUCACCUUUCAACACUCAUCACCUUCCCCUUCUCACCGUCGCCGUUGGCUGUAAAGGGAAAUUUUUUUCACCUUUUCACUAAAUCAGAAAUGGUGUCAUAUCCCCCAAUCCCUAAUCUAAUAAACCCCCUUCGUCUCUCUUCUCUAUUCUCUCUCGUCACUCUCUUCUCUGUUCUCUCGUCGCUCUCACCUCUCAUCUCCGGUCUCUAGCUCACUUCUCUCUCGGUCACGUGCGCGCACUCACUGUCUCAGACUCAAGCUCAUCGUUGCGGUUUGUGUCGUCACCAUGUCGCACUCAGUCGCCGCCUUCCCUGCGCUCACUUCGCCGGUGGUAGAAGAAGACGGAACCAGCAUCUUGUCCCUCGGGUGGUGGUGGUCUUCGUCUUCUUGUUUCAGCCAUUAAUUCAAUUGGUCAGUUUUCUUCACCGUCAAUCCCAGGUGAGUUUCCUUCGGCCCUGUUCUUUCAAUGUUAAUUUCGAUGUAUCUUAGGGUUUCAUGGUGAAAUUAGAAUUUUAUGGUGGUGGUGGUUGUUGUUGUAUGUGGCUUCUUUUAUUAAUUGUUGAAGCUGAAUACUAGGGAUUUGGAAAUUGGAAUUAUACUUUUUCACAGUUUUAUUGUUGCUCUCUGUGUUUGUGAAAAUGCAUGUGUUGUAGCACCAGUGUUGCUGUAAAGGGAGUAACUGCUGCUCAUUUUCUAAGUCAAGUUGCUGUAAAUGGAGAAGCAUCUUCCGGGUAUAAUUUUGCUUCCAGUGGAUCAAUGGCAAGCAAUAGGCUUUCAUUUUCUCUCGGUGUCAUUUAAUCGGAAAAGAGGAUAAACUAUUAGAUAUUGCUUCGAGAUUUAAAGCUACUAUUAAGUAUACAAAGACUUUGGUUGACCUGUAUUACUCAAUAGGAAGUUUGGUACUUAUAAAGAUUGACGAAGAGCUUCUUCAGGAAGUGGUUAAUAUGGGAUUUGACAGAAAUCAAUUGGUUGAAUCUUUAUGCAACAGGAUCCAAAAUGAGAUGGGACUGGUGAUGAUUUGUUUAAAGAGCUAUGGAGGCUGUGUGCAGGGCCAUUAAUGGAUGUUCCUUGUGUUCAAGACAGAGUUUUCUAUUUCCCUCAAGGCCACAUUGAAUUGUUGCCAGAACCUACAGAACAAGAUUUGAGGCAGAUGAAGAACCAGAAAUCUCCCAAAUACGAUCUUCCGUCGAACAAGAUAUUUAAAGAACAAGAUUUUUUUCUCUUCUAUCAGAAGGUUAAUAAUUUUUAUUAGAAGAUACUUAUGUAGGAUACAAUAUUUUGGUUUUUUAUAGUUUAUUAGUAGUAAAUUCUAAGUGGUCUAAUGUAUAUUUUGAUAUGGGUAUAUUUAAUUUAGUGUGACAUGUAUGAAUACUCAUUUAUGAUCAUCCCAAUAUUUUUAGUUCAUUAUAAAUAUAUUUUGUUAA